GCAGUGCUUUGUGUUAUUGUGAGAAGCAAAUGAACGUCGUCGCAAUGUUGCAUUUUGAGACGAAUGAGACUGAAAACUGGAUCUGUCUUUUUACCUUCACAGAUGCUGCCAGACCUGCUGAGCUUUUCCAGCAACUUUGUUUUUGUUCCUGAUUGACAACAUCCCAGUUCUUUUGUUAUUUUUUAAUAAGUCGCGAUUGAAAAGGCUUCCUGCAGCUCAAAGCUGAAGGUACUCUUGAUACCGCUCUGUCAGCCAAUAGAGAAAUAGCGAUGAAAUAAGGGUAAUAAAUACAGGUCUAGCAGUCCUCAGGUAAGAUGUAAAGGGAAUAAUUAUGAAUAUGAAGAACAUCACGUGGUGAAGUGAGGUGAGUGUUGUUCAUAUGAACUGUGAUUGGGCAGAGAGGGCGGUUAAUCAAAAAAGAACAAGCAGAAUAGAGAUUCUCAAGAAAAGUCUGUGCAAUGGAAAGCAACGAGAAUCAGAAGAUAAAAGCCCAACACAAGAAAAAGUUUGAAGACCGCGGCUGCAGAAACUCCAAUAAGUUGUUUCACUGCUCUACUGCCUAGUUAUUGACUUAAGCAGUAUAAUCCACAUUCAACUGUCGGAAAUGUGUUUGAAUUUCCACAUUGCUGUUUGUCCUUCCACUUGAGGAGGAGCAUUUGGAAUGGCAGGAAGCAGCUGACAUCAGUGAUGUUUGGCUGGAAGUACAAGGUGAAGCAGGAAAACUGUAGGUGAGCAAUGGGGGAGGAGCACAAACCCAGGGCAUCCAUCAAAUACUUCCAUUUGUUGCUGUAAAUAGGUUCUAGUUUUGGAGUCUGGAAUGGGACAGUAGAGCCAAGUGAGUGACGUUCUGCUUUCUGGGGGUUGCUCUCUCCGAAAGCCUCUGGCACUCUCGAUGGAAGGUGUCCUUGUUAGUUUCCUUCUGUGGGUGAAAAUGAGGUUCACUUCCCCGAGGGGGCAUGAGCACAGUCUUCCCACCUCAAACUUCAGUUUUGCUUGUUGGUUCCUCAAAGUGUUGACCCAGAAACCCGCACAGCACACACUUCAUUGGGGAGACAAUGGCCUGAGGUUGUUAUCACUGGACACUUAAUCCAGAGACCCAGAUACUAUGUUGGGGACUUGUGUUUGAAUCCAGUUGCAGCAGACGGCGGAAUUUGAAUUCAAUACAAACCUGGAAUUAAGCGUCUAAUGAUGAGCAUGAAUCUGUUGUCCUUUAAGGGAAGUAAACUGCCAUUCUUGCUUACAUGUAACUCCUGACCCACAGCAAUGUGGUUGACUCUUAACUGCUCUCUGGACAUUUAGGAAUGUGUAAUAAAUGUUACCCUAGCCAGUGAUGCCCUCAUCCCGUGAAUGAAUUUAAAAAGUACGUCAGGAAUUCCUCCUGUAUGCAAUGAUAACUGAUUUGCUUUGCCCAAUCUUUAUGCCAACUGAAGUCACCUGACUCUUGAAGUCAGUGACCUUUCAUCGUAGUAGAGCUCUCCCUUUCUGCUGGUGUCUUCAAUUUCCUUUUUAGUGCCUUCUGCUAAAAGUACCACGCGAGUUGACUGGGGUGUAUAUACAUCGACCACUGUCAAUUUCUGUCCCUUGAUGUUUCUAAACUGUACCCAGACUCCAUUUCACCAGAACUAAUAUCCAUUGUCAUUACCAUAUUAAUUUUAUUCCGUAACCAGCAAAGCUGACCUACCUCCUCCUUCUUGUCAGUCCUUCCAAGAAACUGAAUACCCCUGGAGCCCAGCUUCAGACAUCGUAGAUAUUUUGGUUUCUGGUUUACCAAAACAUCCUGGAUUCUGGAAAAGUCUGAGUUCAGUAGAAAUUAGCAGUUGUAACACUGCUAUGUAAGAAAGAAGGAGGAGCAAAAAUAAGGAAUAAAGCCAGUUAACAUGAUUUCAAUCAGUUGGGAAAGUGCUUAAUAAUGUCUCUUCAUUAAGUAUGUUUUAGCAAUGCUUUUAAAACAAAAAUCGUAUCAUCUGAUUAAAUCAACGUGGUCAAUCCAGAAGAAGACUUUCCAUGAUGGAGACAGGGCAGUUGCAGGACAGAUGAGACCAUCCAUCCUCUUGACAGCUGACCAGCCAGUCUGGCCACCAAAUAAAUUAAUAGACGUAUUGGUCACAUGUGGGCAGGCCUCCUGGUGCCUUCACCUCCAUGGGCAAUAUACCAGGAAGGCUGUUCAGGGAAGAUGGCGGAGAUGGGAAACUGCAUCCAUGACAUGAUGCCCACGUUUACAAACAAGCCCUCCCCACAUGACAACCGCGUACACGGAGAUGAAGUGGAAAACAGCAGUGUAAUUAGAACUAACACGAAUUGAAGCGGAGGGAAAGGAGCAAUACCUUCGUGGUAUCACUCUUGGUUGUGAGAAGAGUUUUGAGGUUUGACGAUACUUCACCUUUCUCAUUCCUCAGACUCCAACCCACUUUGAUUCUGAAAGAUUUGACUGUUAUUUCCGGUCAGUCAGCUUGCCGAAGCAGUCAGAUUUCCGUCAUACUACUCUGAAUAAAAAUGGCAUCAGGAGAUGAGCUUCCAUCACAUCUCACUGUCAAUACCUCCAACGUUCAAAUUCUUAACUCUGAGACCUCAAAAAGACUCGUCGAAAAUUUUGUAAUCGCUCUCAUGAACAAGGAGCGUUUCUACAUCUGCACAUUCUUUUCGACAUACCAAGCAUAUACCACUGCUGAAAGUGUGUUGUACAUCCUCCUGGACAAAUAUGGAAGCUUUGACACCUCAGAGGCAGAAGAGAUUCCAGUAAUCGAUUCAGUGAACACAAACAUCGGGAACAAUGAUAACAUUCUGAGCUGUGAGGAGCUUGAAAAUCCAAUUCCUCCAAAGACAGUUGCUGAGAUCAGAAAGUAAGUAUUGAUCCAAUAUGUGAGGAAAUGAUGCUUUAAUCGGAAUACAAAAAUAUGAAGGGCAGCUGCUGGAGGUCUGGCAUUUUCAGGAGCAUUACAUAGAGGCUAUCUCCCGAAACUUAGCAGCAUCUGUGGAGAGAAAGCAGAGUGGGCGCUUUGAGUUAAGGUUCCCCUGUUUAGAACUUCACACCUCUGAAGAAAUGUCACCUGGCUUCACUUGAACUCUGUUUUCUGUCUGCAGAUGCUGCAAAACCUGUAGAGUUUCUCCAGAAACAUCUGCCUUUCUUUCAGAUUGCCGGUGUCCAUAGUUUGUUUGUUUUCACAUUAAAGAAACAGUUGGCUGUUGUUCUAAUAUUUGCUCUGUUCUUAGUGUUGUAAAAAGAAAUUUUAGAUGGAAGCUUGUGGUUCAUGCUGCAGGCCUUCUGCUGGAUCUGAAACCUGGAGGCCUUGGCCGAUUCCAGCGGUGACCAAUACAGAGAUUGCUGCCGGCGUUACUCACCAGCUGACGGUUUGGAUCAGUUUUGACAGCUGCUGGUCCAGUGAAAGGGAUGGCAGAUCAGCAUCCUUCUCAGCCCAACUGUUAAUGCUGAUUGUCACUGAGGUUGUGUAUGCACUGUCCCUGGAACGGGUUCAGAGGAGGUUCAUGAGAAUGGUCCAGGGAAUGGAAAGCUUAAAAUAUGAGGAACGUUUGAGGACUCUGAGACUAUACUCAUUGGAGAUUAGAUGGAUGAGGGGUGAUCUAAUUGAAACUUUUAGAAUACUGAAUGGCCUGGACAGAGUGGAUGUUGGGAAGAUGCUUUCAUUGGUAGGAGAGACUAGGACCCGAGGGCCCACUUUUAGAAUAAAGAGGAGAUCUUUUCAAUUGGAGAUUUGGAGAAACCUCUUCAGCCAGAGAGUGUUGAAUCUGUGAAAUUCACUGCCACAGAAGGCUGUAGGGGCCAGGUCAUUGAGUACAUUUAAAACUGAGACAGAUUAUCAAGGGGAUUAAGGGUUAUGGGGAGAAAGCAGGAGAAUGGUGUUGAGGAACUUAUCAUCCUGACUGAAUGGCAGAACUGACUCAAUGGGCCGAAUGGCCUAAUUUCUGCUCCUCUGUCUUAUGGUCUUAUGGUCUGAAUGAAUUGCAGGUCUAAAACCUUUGACAGCCCAAACUCUGAGAAAGAUGAAGAACGAAGUUCACCAAAAGCGACUGCAGA